rnacentral:rRNA from 1 species
UACGUAGGGUGCGAGCGUUAAUCGGAAUUACUGGGCGUAAAGCGUGCGCAGGCGGUUCGUUGUGUCCGUCGUGAAAGCCCCGGGCUUAACCUGGGAACUGCAUUGGAAACUAACGGGCUCGAGUGUGGCAGAGGGGGGUGGAAUUCCACGUGUAGCAGUGAAAUGCGUAGAGAUGUGGAGGAACACCGAUGGCGAAGGCAGCCCCCUGGGCUAACACUGACGCUCAGGCACGAAAGCGUGGGGAGCAAACAGG